UNCCAAUUCAGGCAAGCAUCUCCACACAG
rnacentral:piRNA from 1 species